UUUAUCGGCAUAUCGGUUGACUUAUCGGCCGAUAUAUCUUAUCGGUCAGACACUGGUAAGCGAUAAAUCGGCCAAUUUAUUGGAAUAUCGGAAGAUAUCUUGAACAGUGCAUCCUAUUGGCGAUGCUUCCUUUGGUUAUGCAUGUUUUAAACAUUAUAAGUUAUUCUUGGGUUUACUGUUUCAUUGGCCCAUCGACAUGCUUGCCUUGACAUUUAAUAAUGUACUUUUCUAUUUCAAAAAAUUCAUCAUUAGAUAGAUUGUAGGCUUCUUAGUAGUACUCUCGUACCCUUUUAUCUUGUAUGUUUUCAUCUCAUUACGAUGCAACGUUGUUGUGUUUUGCCUAUUUAUAGCAUCAGGAGGAGUUAGUUGCAAGACUUGAAGCAUAAGAGAAAGCAUUUGAAGAGAUAUAGAAGAAGCAACAAGAAGAAUUGGAUGCUCUAAAGAAGAGCCGACAAGAGAAGAAUGAAGCUUGGGCAAAGAAGCAACAAGAGCCAGAUAAUCUUAUUAGUUUCCUCUUGAGGGCUCAAGCAACUCAAUAGUCCGAGUCCAAACUUGAUGGUGCAUGAAUGCCAUCCUUCCAUGAUGGAAAGAUAGUUGUUGAAUCAUACAUUGCAAUCAUUGAGACAACACAUGUGGUCUUUAGUUAACUAUUAGUUUUCAUCUUUUUCUACUUAUGUGUCAAACUUGAGCCAGUGCUAUUUUUUACCAUCAUUUUUGUUUAAAGAAUGAUUUAGCUGAGACAAUUUCAUAUAUAACAGGAUUUUUAUUUCAUAUCAACUUAUGAUGUGAUUUGGCUCUUUAAAUUGUUUAUAUAAUCUUGUGUGAAUUAAAUACUUAUUGUGAU
rnacentral:lncRNA from 1 species